CAACCCAACAACGGGUUGUCUGAUUCAUCUGAAAAUUUCAGGGCAGAUAGAUCUUGACCUGAUAAACAAUUUUACCCCCCAUGUCAGAUUUGCUCUAAAUGCUUUGGUUUUUGAGUUAUAAGCCAAAACUGCAUUUACCCCUAUGUUCUAUUUUUAGCAAUGGCGACCAUGUUUGUUGAUAGAUCAAAACUUCGGAUACAAUUUAUAAAUUAGAUACCCUAAGGAACAUUCAGUUAAAGUUUGAAAGUAUUUGGCCCAGUAGUUUCAGAGGAGAAGAUUCUUGAAAUAGUUUACGACGACAGACGACGACAGACGACGACGGACGCCAAGUGAUGGCAUAAGCUCACUUGUCCCUUGGGGACAGGUGAGCUAAAAAUAGUUCAAUAUUAGAAAAGUAUUAAAUGUAUGAAUUUGUUGAAUUGGAUAAAUAAGAAAUAAACUUGAACAACAAAAUCU
rnacentral:lncRNA from 1 species